rnacentral:lncRNA from 1 species
CAGCUGUGUGUCACUCAGCUCCCCUCCCCUUGAAUCCUGCCUUGUCUGUAGACUGGAGCUCUUAUCAGGUGCUUGCAAUUGCUUUCUGAUGUAUUCUGCUUGCUGACAGGCCUGUAAAUAGAAAUUUGUUUCUAAAGUGAAUCAAGAGCUGGUGGAAUUCGUCAGCAUGACACAUGGAGAAACAGCAUCUGCCUGUUGCCUGUGCUUCUGGUGUAGCACUGACAGUAUGUACGUGUGCCCUGCUCCAGGCAUCCUGCCUUCCUCCAGGCCUCUGUGGACUGCUGCUAAAUGGAUUUCUCUGUCGCCAUACCCACAAAUGCAUACAGAGAGAGGAGAAGGGUGCUCGGCAGUGCAAGGCCAUGCCUCUGGGUCUCCAUCCUUGCCUGACUCACCCCUGCACCGAUCAGCACUGAGUUCAGUGAGUGUGUGGUGGUGGGGAGCAAGCACCUGGGCAAAGCCUGACAGGUUUAUUUCAGAUGGAAGAUCAUGGCAGCCCUGCACAUUCAGGCACUUGUUCUCUGCAAAAGCAAGAGCACAAUUACCUCUGAGAUUAUGGAGGUAUUUUCAGUUUGGUCCUGAGUGACUGCAGUUCUUAUGGUGCCUAUCAAGGAAACUGAAAUGAUUUGUAUGUUGUGGACAGCCCAAAAACAGAUAUUGGAAUUUUGGAGAGCAAAGAUGGGUAUAUUAGUUAAUGCUUUUUCUCUUUGAGUAUUUUGGCACAGUUUAUCCUGAUUCAGCAGCUAUGCUCUGCAUCACUGUCUGGUCUGCAGGUAGCAACAUUUGGCAGUUUGUGUAAAUCUGCCCACUUUGUCCUCCAAAUCCUUUUCUCGCUGUUGAUCUCUCAUCUCCAC